AGGUCAUUUCGAGGAGGGCUGGAGUGGUGGCGGCUGUGGAUCAAAAAGCUCUGAAGGCAGUGGCCAAAGACUGAAAUUCACUACAGAGUGACAAGAAG
rnacentral:snoRNA from 1 species